UACGUAGGGACCAAGCGUUGUUCGGAUUUACUGGGCGUAAAGGGCGCGUAGGCGGCAAUUCAAGUCAGCUGUGAAAUCUCCGGGCUUAACUCGGAACGGUCAACUGAUACUGCUCGGCUAGAGUGCGGAAGGGGCAACUGGAAUUCUUGGUGUAGCGGUGAAAUGCGUAGAUAUCAGGAGGAACACCUGCGGUGUAGGCAGCUUUCUGGACCACUUCUGACGCUGAGACACGAAAGCGUGGGUAGCAAACAGG
rnacentral:rRNA from 1 species